rnacentral:ncRNA from 1 species
UCUUAUCAAGAGCAGGUGGAGGGACUGGCCCGAUGAUACCCGGCAACCGGCGAUUUUCAAUCGUACGGUGCUAAUUCUUGCAGAACCGUUGGACGGAGGCGUCCUUCGGUAUCUGAGAGAUGAG